rnacentral:rRNA from 1 species
CAGCAGCCGCGGGAAUACGAAGGGGGCUAGCGUUACUCGGAAUUACUGGGCGUAAAGGGCGCGUAGGCGGCACGAUUAGUCAGGCGUGAAAUUCCUGGGCUCAACCUGGGGACUGCGCUUGAUACGGUCGAGCUAGAGGAUGGAAGAGGGUCGUGGAAUUCCCAGUGUAGAGGUGAAAUUCGUAGAUAUUGGGAAGAACACCGGUGGCGAAGGCGGCGACCUGGUCCAUUACUGACGCUGAGGCGCGACAGCGUGGGGAGCAAACAGGAUUAGAUACCCCUGUAGUCCCUGUCUCUUAUAC